UCAAACAACCUCCAACCGAGUGUACGUGGGUUGACAGUCCAGCUGAGCGUGUGGUUCCAGGACAGAAUUCCUGGAACGACCUCCCAAACACUGGAGGUUUUCCCGGUUGGAUCCCCAUCUAUUUCAAUUAGGUGCUUCAGCAACUGUAACAGAAAAAUCAACCCGUCAGAGAAACUGAUUCUGGUGGCGGAGUGUACAAACUGUGAGGAGAACGAACUGGUCAGUUACAACUGGACGUUACAGGAAGCUCCGGGCGGGUUUGGCAGGUCCGAUUUAAACUGGGACACCGAGAGCACCACGGGAAGGAACCUGCCGGAUGUCGUUUUUGAACCAGAAGUUUUCACGGCUCUUGGUGACUACACGUUCAGAGUCGAAGCCUCACUGGACUACGGUCGCCAGGGCUUCUCUGAGUACAGUUUUGAGCCGAACGAGCCGCCUGUGGUCGGAAGCUGCACAGUCAGCCCGGAAAACGGCACA